rnacentral:tRNA from 1 species
ACCUUCCUAGUACAAAUAACUAGUAUAGUUGACUUCCAAUCAACUGGUCUCAGUAUAAACCUGGGGGAAAGUA